CAAUAGCGUAUAUUAAAGUUGUUGCGGUUAAAAAGCUCGUAGUUGGAUUUCUGCCGAGGACGACCGGUCCGCCCUCUGGGUGAGCAUCUGGCUCGGCCUGGGCAUCUUCUUGGAGAACGUAUCUGCACUUGACUGUGUGGUGCGGUAUUCAGGACUUUUUACUUUGAGGAAAUUAGAGUGUUUCAAGCAGGCAUACGCCUUGAAUACAUUAGCAUGGAAUAAUAAGAUAGGACCUCGGUUCUAUUUUGUUGGUUUCUAGAUCUGAGGUAAUGAUUAAUAGGGAUAGUUGGGGGCAUUCGUAUUUAAACUGUCAGAGGUGAAAAUUCUUGGAUUUGUUAAAAGACGGACUACUGCGAAAAGCAAUUUGCCAAGGAUGUUUUCAUUGAUC
rnacentral:rRNA from 1 species